rnacentral:lncRNA from 1 species
GGACCCUGCACAACCGAGGGGAAAAGGAUAUAUUAAUGGAAUCCUAAGCUGCCAACACUGAAGUGAAAAUUAAGGAAGUUUAUUUCACAUUUUAUCCUUAUGAAAACAAAAGACGGAAAAUGAAAAGUUUUCUGUUUUUUCAUGCACAGCACCAGAGGAGCGCAUUUACAUUUUUUAAAAAGUGACUGUUUCCAAAUGCUGGUAUGUGAGUGAUUAAAAAAUCUCCUCUGCCUUUUUCUUAUUUUCAAUAUUUAAGAGAGCUUGAAGGGCUUAGCAUGGUUUCAGUGUUGCUUUUCUGGAAGAAUGAACAAAGGCCAUUGUUGACAGUCAUCAGCUUCUCUUGGGAGGGCAGCCUUCCAUUCAGCUGGACUGGCUGGGCUGGGAGCUGUCCGGUGCUGAAUGAAUCUUCCUUGGAUUGACCUCCAGCUAUCCUGGAACCUGGAGACAAGAGGUGACCUGAGAGCUUUGCUCUCAUCAACGGCCCUCAGGAACCUCACGUGUAGGGCCACUACCCUGCUCUGGCCACCUGGCUCCGUCCACCCCAGACCCUGGGCUGAGGUCACGUUGGAGCUGCAGAGGUGGCUUAUCCUUCUUGCCCUUGAUGCUACCAAUCACCAUAUGUCUUCAACAGAGCCUGCCAGGACAGGGUCUUGCUCUAUUGCCCAGGCUGGAGUGCAGUGGCACAAUCUCAGCUCAUUGCAGCCUCGACCUCCCAGGCUCA